rnacentral:rRNA from 1 species
GACGAACGCUGGCGGCGUGCUUAACACAUGCAAGUCGAACGGAAAGGCCCUGCUUUUGUGGGGUGCUCGAGUGGCGAACGGGUGAGUAACACGUGAGUAACCUGCCCUUGACUUUGGGAUAACUUCAGGAAACUGGGACUAAUACCGGAUAGGAGCUCCUGCUGCAUGGUGGGGGUUGGAAAGUUUCGGCGGUUGGGGAUGGACUCGCGGCUUAUCAGCUUGUUGGUGGGGUAGUGGCUUACCAAGGCUUUGACGGGUAGCCGGCCUGAGAGGGUGACCGGCCACAUUGGGACUGAGAUACGGCCCAGACUCCUACGGGAGGCAGCAGUGGGGAAUAUUGCACAAUGGGCGGAAGCCUGAUGCAGCAACGCCGCGUGCGGGAUGACGGCCUUCGGGUUGUAAACCGCUUUCGCCUGUGACGAAGCGUGAGUGACGGUAAUGGGUAAAGAAGCACCGGCUAACUACGUGCCAGCAGCCGCGGUGAUACGUAGGGUGCGAGCGUUGUCCGGAUUUAUUGGGCGUAAAGGGCUCGUAGGUGGUUGAUCGCGUCGGAAGUGUAAUCUUGGGGCUUAACCCUGAGCGUGCUUUCGAUACGGGUUGACUUGAGGAAAGUAGGGAGAAAUGGAAUUCCUGGUGGAGCGGUGGAAUGCGCAGAUAUCAGGAGGAACACCAGUGGCGAAAGGCGGUUCUCUGGGCCUUUCCUGACGCUGAGGAGCGAAAGCGUGGGGAGCGAACAGGCUUAGAUACCCUGGUAGUCCACGCUGUAAACGGUGGGUACUAGGUGUGGGGUCCAUUCCACGGGUUCCGUGCCGUAGCUAACGCUUUAAGUACCCCGCCUGGGGAGUACGGCCGCAAGGCUAAAACUCAAAGGAAUUGACGGGGCCCCGCACAAGCGGCGGAGCAUGCGGAUUAAUUCGAUGCAACGCGUAGAACCUUACCUGGGUUUGACAUGGAUCGGGAGUGCUCAGAGAUGGGUGUGCCUCUUUUGGGGUCGGUUCACAGGUGGUGCAUGGCUGUCGUCAGCUCGUGUCGUGAGAUGUUGGGUUAAGUCCCGCAACGAGCGCAACCCUUGUUCACUGUUGCCAGCACGUUAUGGUGGGGACUCAGUGGAGACCGCCGGGGUCAACUCGGAGGAAGGUGGGGAUGACGUCAAGUCAUCAUGCCCCUUAUGUCCAGGGCUUCACGCAUGCUACAAUGGCUGGUACAGAGAGUGGCGAGCCUGUGAGGGUGAGCGAAUCUCGGAAAGCCGGUCUCAGUUCGGAUUGGGGUCUGCAACUCGACCUCAUGAAGUCGGAGUCGCUAGUAAUCGCAGAUCAGCAACGCUGCGGUGAAUACGUUCCCGGG